rnacentral:rRNA from 1 species
AACGAACGUUGGCGGCGUGCUUUAAACACAUGCAAAGUCGAAACGAGAAACGGUCUAGCUUGCUAGAUGCAGUCUAAGUGGCGCACGGGUGAGUAAUAUAUAGGUAAUAUGCCUCUUACUAAGGGAUAACAGAUGGAAACGUCUGCUAAUACCUUAUAUGCCUUUAGGACUAAAGUCCGCAAGGGAAAGAUUUAUCGGUAAGAGAUUAGCCUGUACAGUAUCAGUUAGUUGGUGAGGUAAUGGCUCACCAAGACUAAUGACACUUAACUGGUUUGAGAGGAUGAUCAGUCACACUGGAACUGAGACACGGUCCAGACUCCUACGGGAGGCAGCAGUGGGGAAUAUUGCACAAUGGACGGAAGUCUGAUGCAGCAACGCCGCGUGGAGGAAUGACACAUUUCGGUUGCGUAAACUACCUUUUACUUAUGUAGAAGAUAAUGACGGUAUCAUAUGAAUAAGCACCGGCUAACUCCGUCGGCCAGCGAGCCGGUAC